rnacentral:rRNA from 1 species
AGUGAACGCUGGCGGUAGGCCUAACACAUGCAAGUCGAACGGCAGCACAGUAAGAGCUUGCUCUUACGGGUGGCGAGUGGCGGACGGGUGAGGAAUACAUCGGAAUCUACUUUUUCGUGGGGGAUAACGUAGGGAAACUUACGCUAAUACCGCAUACGACCUACGGGUGAAAGCAGGGGAUCUUCGGACCUUGCGCGAUUGAAUGAGCCGAUGUCGGAUUAGCUAGUUGGCGGGGUAAAGGCCCACCAAGGCGACGAUCCGUAGCUGGUCUGAGAGGAUGAUCAGCCACACUGGAACUGAGACACGGUCCAGACUCCUACGGGAGGCAGCAGUGGGGAAUAUUGGACAAUGGGCGCAAGCCUGAUCCAGCCAUACCGCGUGGGUGAAGAAGGCCUUCGGGCUGUAAAGCCCUUUUGUUGGGUAAGAAAAGCAGCAGGUUAAUACCCCGCUGUUCUGACGGUACCCAAAGAAUAAGCACCGGCUAACUUCGUG